UGCGGGGGGUGCGAGCGUUGUCCGGAAUCACUGGGCGUAAAGGGCGCGUAGGUGGUUUGAUAAGGGUGUGGUGAAAGUCCGGGGCUCAACCCCGGAUCUGCCGUGCCGACUGUCAAACUCGAGGGCUGUAGAGGCAGACGGAAUUCCGGGUGUAGCGGUGGAAUGCGUAGAGAUCCGGAGGAAGAUCGGUGGCGAAGGCGGUCUGCUGGGCAGUUUCUGACACUGAUGCGCGACAGCGUGGGGAGCAAACAGG
rnacentral:rRNA from 1 species